CCUCCCUCUAUGAGCAAACUUCCUUUUAAACAGCACUUCGAAGUUGUGGUCUAAAAGAACAACAUCAGGCUUUAAGAUGAGCCUGAGCGUGGCUGACAGAGCCAUUGGGGCCAUUAUCGGGGCAGCAGUGGCAGAUGCAGCAGCCCAGCCCAUGCAUUGGAUCUACAAUCCAGACAGACUGAAAGAAGUUCUCUCUGAUCUGGAGCCCUGUCCAGAGUUUCGGCCUCAGUCAGCAAAUCCUUUUUACCGCAGGACAACAGGCGAGCAGACCUGCUAUGGAGACCAGGCAUACGUCCUGCUAGAGUCCCUGAGUCGGUGUGGAGAUGUUGAUGUGAAAGAUUUGACUGAGCGCUUUUACAAGUUCUUUGGACCCGGGACAGUGUACGAUCUGCCGCUCAAUGAUCCCUACAGGAAAAAAGGAGAUCCCAAAGCCAUUCUCCCCAUUGACGGCCCUUGGAGGAACGGAAGCCUGAAGGCUUUCUUCAGAAAUGUAGACGCUGGAAAAAAAGAAACUGGCUCUGAUGGGGACUGUAUGAUGGAUGGUGUCACUAAGCUUGCCCCAGUAGUCGGCAUGUUUGCUGGGAGACCUGAGAUGCUGGAGAAAGUGGAGGAGGCCGUACGUGUCACCCAGAAUGAUGACAUGUGUGUGGCUGUGACUCUGGCAGCAGCGAGGUUUCUGGAACAUUUCAUUCUUAACGGUCCCGAUCCCAAUGCUCUGGAUGCAGUUCUCACUCAGCUGAAUGACCCCAAGAGACAGAACCCUCAGGAUCUGGAUAAGGCAGUCAUUGCACAUAUUAACCAGGUGAAGGACAACUUAGCCAAAGCAUCCCAUCAGCUCAUACCUGCUGUGUUCACUAACACAUGAGCUUUGCCUGGUGCAUUCCAAGGAGCGCUUCAUGGAGUCCUGACACUAAACCAGCUUGAAGAAGCAGUGAGGGACACCAUGCGCCGCGGGGGAUGCACCGCCAGCCGAUCCUCCUUCAUUGGAGCUUGUUUUGGGGCACAGAUAAUUCUCUGUAAACUCCAGGGAUGGAUGUGAAAGUUUUAGUAGACCAGCAGUCCCUGCCAUGUGACUGGCUGAUUAGCUCUUUGUGACCGGUCUCCAGGGAACCCCAGAAUCAUGGAGGAAGAGGACUCUUAGAUACCCUCUGCUGUUGGAGUUGGCUGAAAAUGUGGUCAAAAAAAGUCAGCAGUCGUAGUUUAGCUUUAAUCUUGUCCUUCAAAACAACUUGCAUCAUCCAUCAAUCAGCAUCCAUUGGUGCAUUUCUGACCCCUUUUUUUUAAAGACUUUCUCAUGUUGCAGGCGUACUUUCACAGCAGUUUAUGACAGUUGCUUUCUAAAGUCUUGUGCUGAAUGAAACUUGAAUCUUUCUGUUCUGUUAAAGCCUCACCGUGUACAAAGGGAAAGUCUGUGCAACUCAUAUUUAAAAUAAAAUCUCUGUUACUGA